AAAGCUCAUUCACAUUGCGAGGCUGUUGUUUGGGGGCCAGGAUCGGCUUGGGAAGGAGGAAUGGAGGCAGCGGUGGGGCAGCCGCAGCCGAAGAAAGGCAAGGGGAAGAGGAAGCGCGGCCCGAGGGAGCUGCGGCUGAUCAAGGACCGCACCAUCCGGAAGGUGCGCUUCUCCAAGCGCUAGAGCGGGUUGUUCAAGAAGGCCUACGAGCUCUCCAUGUUGUGCGACGCCUAGGUGCGUGGCGCUCGUCGUCUUCUCCCCCGCCGACCGCCUCUACCAGUUCGCCUCCACCGACUCCAGGUACUUUGGCUAAGGCUCUAGCUUCUGGUGAUCCCACGAUUGAUGUCCCUCCUGAAAAUGCUCCUGCAUUACACAUUGUAAUCAUGAGAAGUGGAAUAUUGGUUGGUUAAGCAGGGAAGUGCUUCCUCCUUUGAUGAAUUUACUUGAUAAUUUAAUUUGAAUCUGGGAUCUAGAACUGCUUUGCUUGUGUUUUGUAAUGUGUUUUGGGCAGAAAAAAGGAACUUAGUGUUUGUCCCUGUAUUUUGCUUUGUUUUCUUUGGUGGGACUUAGCAUGCAUCCUUUCUCGCGUAUAAGUGUAUGUGUGUGUAUGAAGCAUCGACUGAACCAUUUCCUGAUUCGAGCCGAUGUUUUUAUUAGUAGAGAAUAGUAUGCACCCUUUGUUUAGUAAGCGUGAGCAUGUGACAUCGACUUAAGUCGUUCCCGACUUAUGCCGGUUGCUCUGUUAGCAGGGAAUAGGAUACACCCUUUAUUUUGUAAGCGUGAGCAUGUAACACCGACUUAAGUCGUUCCUAACUUAAGACAAUUGCUCUGUUAGUAG
rnacentral:misc_RNA from 1 species